rnacentral:lncRNA from 1 species
AAGGGCACAAGGCGAGACCCAGAUGCAGACACAGUAGGCAGAUGGUUUGAGUCUCUGAUAUUUAUUACAAUCCAAGGGGUAGGCAAGUUCAUGGACAGUCAAAAGAUCAAAACCAGGUCGGAGUCCAGGAGGUACAGAGUGGCAGGGAGGCUCAAGGGCAGGGCAAGCAGAAUGGUCAGGCAGGCGGGUUCAGAGUCCAGACAGGCAAGGGUCACAAUCAGGGGGGGCUAUCAAAACAGAGCGAAGGGAAAAAGCAGGAGAACGGGAAACAACACACUGGUUGACUUGACAAACAAGACAAACUGGCAACAAGCAGGGAACACAGGAAUAAGUACCCAGGGACUUAUGAGGAAAACACCUGGAGAAGGGUGGAGACAAUCACAAAGUCAGGUGAAACAGAUCAGGGUGUGACACUGUUACAUACAAGGACCAGGGGUGGAAUUUCCACAUUUUGACUGUGACAUAUUUUCCCUUUCCAAAAACUCUUUCCCCUAUACCUUUUCAGGCCUCUGGGAUUUGUGGUGAGAACAGAGAACAACUGAGCACAUUACAACACACACUGGAACCUGUCCCAGUCAUCACAACCAUGGACAUGAGGUCACAGAACAUCUCCCUCUUACUCAACCUACCCAAGAUAUCACAGGCUCUCCUUAAAUGAUUUGCCUAAGAUUUGCCUAAUCAAAGUGAAUUCUUCCGCUGCUCUAUGUUCGCUACAUAGAUCAGUCUUAAACUGCCAUCAUUAAAAAAAAAAAAACCUAACCCUAACCCAAAAUAAGGGGUAUUGUACAAAACAAAAUAACCAGUGAUUGGAUCAUAAAAGCCUGUGACAAAUUUUCAAACCACUGCUUUACCCACGUGUGUUCUGGCUCUGGCCCAGCCCAUCGAUUUCUGGGACCAGCGCUAGCAGCGCUAGCUAACCUCAUAUCUGAAUUCCAUUCUAGAAUUCGUAGGGGAGGAACUCAGAGCCAGAUUCAGAAACGGGAUUAAAUUAUUCUGGCCCGGGAGCCCCGAGUUGGCGUGUUUCGCACCGGGUGAAAAUUGAUUGCAUUCGUUUUGGAACCGGGCUGCCUCCCAGGCGUGAGCCAGGUGCCCUACUCAAAGCCCAUGGCGAAGUUGGCUCAAAUGAAACGUGAAGUAAUUAGCACGUGGAGUAAUGAGUAGGAUUAUGUUUUGUCAAAUGCAAACGUGAUUGCUUUUGAUAAAAACGCUAUAUCUGCCUUCCCAAUGAAAACUAGUUAGAAAUGUCAAACAUAUUGUAGCGACCCUGGUUUAUUAACAUGGACUUUCGACUCUGCCACUUGAGCAGGCUUUUGUGGCACAGUCGAUGGCGGGCUGGACUUUGAGGGUUCAAGAUGUGUUCCCUGCCUGUUUCAUUACAUUGGUGUUGGAAGGGAUCUGACCUGCCAUCCAUGACAAUGUGUGUGCUUGGCCAGUGACCACGUUCCUGUAAGACUGCGUCCUAUGGUGUAGUGUGAGGACGCGCUCUUUGAGGGAGUUGUGUAGCGACCCAUGUUUAUAAGCGAAGAUAUCGACUUUGUCACUUGAGCAUGCCUUUAUGGCACAGUCGAGACGCGCUGGACAAGGCCCGCACGCUGGUGGCAGCCCGGGAUGGCACUAAACAGUUCCCCAUGCAUUGCCAACCAACCCGGAUGUAAUAUAAUUCUGGCCACAUUUUGACUCAGUGGCGCUUCUCGGUGCAGGACGUGGAAGGGGGAGGGAUGCACACACUAAACAGGAACAGGAACAUGAAUAGGUGCAUCACCGGUCACUGAGCUAGCAAGCUAAAGUUAGCUAGUUAGUCACAUAAAUGUACGUUCAGCCUGUUAAUUAUUUCUGUCCGAUUUGACUUAUCUUACGAAGUCAGCAUGGCUUAACAUAGUUUCUUUCGUUUUUGACCUCGACAUUGUUCCUCGAUAGGUAUUUUCAUAGCUAUCAUGCUGUCGCUGUUAGCUAGCUAAUGCUAGCAGCGCUAGCUAACCUCAUAUCUGGAUGCCUCACUCUAGUUCCCGAAAGAGAGCAGCAUACUGGCUGCCCAUUCCCAAACCUGAAGCCAACUGUCCCCAGCAGGAAAGACCAGGAAAAGGUGUUGGCUUAAGAUCUGCCAACCUGCUCGGUGGGUGACAGGUAACCGUCUUUCCACCAAGCUGUUCCAGGCCUGGAGUGCCACGCUGGAACUUCCAGAGGCUUGUAGACCUGAAGCAGUGUGAUGUGGUCCUGGUAAUUAUCAAACACACAUAUACACACUCAAUCACUCACUCUGUCUUGUUGUAUAAUUAUUUUAAAGUAAGAAAAUUGUUCCUCUCUGUCGUCUGCUCCUGCAUCUGCUACACUGGCCACAACAUGUGAUACAGAUCUGCCACGCCCAGUAGUUCAGCUGCAGUCACAGCAGUCUUCUGCUGUGGUAGUUAAUUUACCGGCUGCACCAAUGCCUACUACACUGGCCGUGAAAGGAGAAACCUUUUGGUAUUCCUUGAUGGAUACAGAUCUUCCAUGCACUCCACCACUGCCUGACAGCCUCACCCAGAAGUGCAUACACGGGGCCUAUCAGAGAUGGGUGGCUGUUAAGGAAAAAUAAAACAUGCACACACACACACAUUAUCCACAAUGUAAAUAAGUUGUAAUUACUUAAUAUUUGCUCCAUUUUAUUUUAGGAUUAUAGAUAUCUACUCCUUUAUAGCCAUUCUCAAUAUCUACAUAAUUACUCAAACUAUCUAUCAAAUCAAAGUGUGAUUGAUAAUAUUGUAAAAGACUAUGGCUUAAUGUGUACAGUUUGAGGAAAUUAUGAGUGCUUUUUUUCUGAGUUGAAAAACAUGCCUCGCUCACACACAUUGGACCCAAUGUAAAUCAGUUGUAAUAACUUGUUUAUUUUAUGUAUGGUUAAUUUUAUUUGAGGAAAAUAUCUGCAAUAAAGUACAUUCACAGUUAAAGCAAUGUCUAUUUCUCAGAAUACAAUGUGUGUUCAGAAGGAAGUCGGCAGACCUGCAACCCUUGGACUGUGUGCAGGUUUUGUCAUCUGGAUAUGGGGAGGAAGAGUGCAGUUUAAAGGUUUAUCAUUAAUAUUCUAUAAUGAUUACAUAUUAGAACAAUACAUAAUAUUGUCCAAUAGUUACUGUAUUGUGAUUGUUUAG